CUGGGCUGACGGAUGGAGUGAUUGAGUCCAGCCUCUUCCGAGUAGUUACCGUAGAAGCGGCCGGUUGGGGAGUCCCCGCGAGUUCACUUUCGGAUGGCGCCCCUCCCUGCGGCUCCACGCGUCUUCCCUCCACCUGUGCUCCCUGCACCCCGGCUCCCCGCACCCGAGCUCCCUGCACCCGAGCUCCCUGCUCUGUAAAGACCGCAGCCCUAUGGCAUUGGGUCCAUCCCAAUGACCUCCUUCAACCUUAACCCCUAACGCCCUCCUCUCCGAAUUAGUCAUGACCUGAGACUCUGGGUCAGGGCAACAAAUGGAUUUGGGGGUCGGGAGGAAAAGGCAGCCAUGGCACUAUCAGCACACUAAGCCAUACACACGACCGGAGGUGUUUUCAUGGGCGUAUCCCCUGGGUGAAGGAGCUGAAACACGACCACGAGAGAGCGAGACAGAGUCCCCGUAUUCCGUGUGCCCUUUUCUCCACCCUGCGGGGCCUCCAUCCGUUUUCUUCCUUUUCAACAGGUGAGAUAGACUUGACACGGGGCGUUCUAUUAGUUUUAGGUGUAGACAUAGUGAUGGAUAUUUUGUAUGUUGUGAGAUGAUCACACCAAAUCUGGUUCAACUCAGCCCCACACAUAGUUGUAAUAUUCUUCUUUUAAGAGGACUUUUAAAACCUACUCUCGGCAGCUUUGAAAUACGCAGAAUGCAGUAGCAUUAACUGUAGCCGCCAUGCGCACAUCCCAGCCCUGGACCGACUGGUUUUUAACUGGACACGUGACCGGGGAACUCGUCUUUGGCCAUCCCUUUGCGCCUCUCCUGUCAUUAAUAACUAGUUAAUUGUAACGGUCUCGGACGUUUGUACCUUUUGACUCCCGCACCCCCGCCCGCCACCCCUGAUCUGUCUCCCUCUGUGAGCUUGCUUUUCAACUUUUCUGUAAAUGUAAAACUUUGAAAAUAAAG